rfam:Myotis lucifugus cont2.17513, whole genome shotgun sequence.
GAGAUACCCUUAUGGGGCAGGACUUGCUUCAGUGGGCUUUGGUGCUCACUGAGUCUGCACCUUGAGUGUGUCACU